rnacentral:misc_RNA from 1 species
GAUGAAGAACGUAGCGAAAUGCGAUACGUAAUGUGAAUUGCAAAUUCAGUGAAUCAUCGAGUCUUUGAACGCACAUUGCGCCCCCUGGUAUUCCGGGGGGCAUGCCUGUCCGAGCGUCAUUGCUGCCCUCAAGCACGGCUUGUGUGUUAGGCCCCGUCCUCCGCUCGCGGGGGACGGGCCUGAAAGGCAGCGGCGGCACCGCGUCCGGUCCUCGAGCGUAUGGGGCUUUGUCACCCGCUCUGUAGGCCCGGCCGGCGCCUGCCGAUCAACCACACUUUUAUUCAGGUUGACCUCGGAUCAGGUAGGGAUACCCGCUGAACUUAAGCAUAUCAAUAAGCGGAGGA